rnacentral:rRNA from 1 species
UGGGGAAUAUUGCACAAUGGGCGAAAGCCUGAUGCAGCAACGCCGCGUGAGCGAUGAAGGCCUUCGGGUCGUAAAGCUCUGUCCUCAAGGAAGAUAAUGACGGUACUUGAGGAGGAAGCCCCGGCUAACUACGUGCCAGCAGCCGCGGUAAUACGUAGGGUGCUAGCGUUAUCCGGAUUUACUGGGCGUAAAGGGUGCGUAGGUGGUCUUUCAAGUCGGUGGUUAAAGGCUACGGCUCAACCGUAUUAAGCCGCCGAAACUGGAAGACUUGAGUGCAGGAGAGGAAAGUGGAAUUCUCAGUGUAGCGGUGAAAUGCGUAGAUAUUGAGAAGAACACCAGUAGCGAAGGCGGCUUUCUGGACUGUAACUGACACUGAGGCACGAAAGCGUGGGUAGCAAACAGG